UUCCAUUCUUUCAUUAUUUUUAUCUAGAUUAACCAUGUCCAUGGUGAACUAAACCCUAGGUUGUUGGGGAACAAUGUAAUCUUUUGAAGUUGUGGAUUUGCUGCCUUUUUCGCCGUGCAUAGUGACAUGUCUAGUAGCAAUUCAGAGUGUCGAGGUUGCUCGUUUUUCUCUUUCAAGUUCUUCUUGCGUUGUCACAUGUUCUGUCUCUUCUCAAGCAUUUAUUCUGAGCAUUGAGGUUGCUCAUUUUCCUUUUUCAGGUGCUUUGAUUGGAUAAUCCUGGAUUUUUGUGGUUUCUCUCUCCUAUUUAUUCAUGGCUUCUUCCAUCGUCGUCUCUUUUGACCUCCCU
rnacentral:lncRNA from 1 species